CCUCAUCUGGCAGGUGGCGUAGAAAUAGAUGUCCUGUUGUUUAUCCCACAGGGUUUUUGAGAGAAUGAAAUCUCCUACUAGAUGUGAAAGCCUUUCAGAGACACAUUAUAUAAAGGGUGACCUUCCUACCCCAAGACAAAAAACCUGGAGGGCCUGACUGCAGCCUGAAAAGGAAAACUGAAAAGCCCAGAGCAGUUAAUACCUAAUAUUUCUGCCUUAUGCUAUCGAGAGUGAAAUCAGACACUGGACUGAGGCUAGGAGGGAGCAAGACCAUGAGUCAUUGGAUACAGCCUCUCCCCUGAUGAUACCAAGCCCAGGUAGACAUCCCUGGCCUGCAGAUAGAAGCCAGGAAAAGGGAUCUCACCAGACACUGAAUCUGCUGGCACCUUCAUCUUGAACUUCUCAUCGUCCAGAACU